rnacentral:rRNA from 1 species
UGGCAGUAGAGUAUGGCAGAGGGGGGUAGAAUUCCACGUGUAGCAGUGAAAUGCGUAGAGAUGUGGAGGAAUACCGAUGGCGAAGGCAGCCCCCUGGGCCAAUACUGACGCUCAUGCACGAAAGCGUGGGGAGCAAACAGGAUUAGACCCUGGUAGUCCACGCCCUAAACGAUGUCAACUAGUUGUUGGGGAUUCAUUUCCUUAGUAACGUAGCUAACGCGUGAAGUUGACCGCCUGGGGAGUACGGUCGCAAGAUUAAAACUCAAAGGAAUUGACGGGGACCCGCACAAGCGGUGGAUGAUGUGGAUUAAUUCGAUGCAACGCGAAAAACCUUACCUACCCUUGACAUGGUCGGAAUCCUGCUGAGAGGCGGGAGUGCUCGAAAGAGAACCGGCGCACAGGUGCUGCAUGGCUGUCGUCAGCUCGUGUCGUGAGAUGUUGGGUUAAGUCCCGCAACGAGCGCAACCCUUGUCCUUAGUU